rnacentral:rRNA from 1 species
AACUAGAUACCCUCGGUAGUCCACGCCGUAAACGACUGAGUGCUAAGUGUUAGGGGGUUUCCGCCCCUUAGUGCUGCAGCUAACGCAUUAAGCACUCCGCCUGGGGAGUACGGUCGCAAGACUGAAACUCAAAGGAAUUGACGGGGGGCCCGCACAAGCGGUGGAGCAUGUUGGUUUUAAUUCGAAGCAACGCGAAGAACCUUACCAGGUCUUGACAUCCCGCUGACCGCUAUGGAGACAUAGUCUUUCCCGUUUCGGGGUACGAGCGGUGACGAGGUGGUGCAUGGUUGUCGUCAGCUCGUGUCGUGAGAUGUUGGGUUAACGUCCCGCAACGAGCGCAACCCUUCGUUCCUUAGUUGCCACUCUAUUCUAGUUGGGUCGACUACGUAAGGAGAC